rnacentral:sRNA from 1 species
GCUGGGCAUGGUGGCUCACGCCUGUAAUCUCAGCUUUUUGGGAGGCCGAGUUGGGAGGAUCACUUGAGCCCAGGAGUUUGAUAUCAGCCUGGGCAAUACAGUGAGACCCCAUCUCUA